UGCAGUUGUCGCGGGUCAACCCGAUCGCCCGUCCUCUGUCUGCACGUUUCCGAAGGCUCUCGGAGAUUCACCGAACAUAGACCCAUCCCUUCCCGAAUCCCGUGCCCCUCCUCCUCCACUCCACAACGACUCUCCUUUCGACUCGGAGGAGGAACUCGGCGGCCGCCCAGCUGUGCAUUUGUAGCCAUUACCCAAGAUGGAGGUUUGCUGAUGGCAGUAGCAUCUAGGAGCGAUCCUGCCCGUCCCUGUGUCUUGGCCGACGCUUUCCGAAAGCGAACAGAUUUUUAUCUUGAUAACGUUGGCAGGAAUUACUCCACCGCAUUGGGAAUUUAGUUGGGCCACCAUCAUGAGCUCUGGGGAAGGAGCAGAGGAGACGUCAAAGGACGCGGCCGAUAUAGCGGCGUUCUUUAAAUCUGAUGGUUCCCUCCCAAAAGAGCCCAAAGGAGACUUGUCCAGUCAGCUACCAGGUUUUCGUAAAAAUGAAGACAUGAGAGCGAUGGAGGUGUUGCCUAUUCUAAAGGAAAAAGUUGCCUUCUUAUCAGG